UACGUAGGGUGCGAGCGUUAAUCGGAAUUACUGGGCGUAAAGCGUGCGCAGGCGGUCUGUUAAGACCGAUGUGAAAUCCCCGGGCUUAACCUGGGAACUGCAUUUGUGACUGCAUCGCUGGAGUGCGGCAGAGGGGGAUGGAAUUCCGCGUGUAGCAGUGAAAUGCGUAGAGAUCGUAAGGAAGACCAGUGGCGAAGGCGAGUUUCUGGACAGUUACUGACGCUGAGGCACGAAGGCCAGGGGAGCAAACGGG
rnacentral:rRNA from 1 species